GCCCGGCCUCGCGGGCUCGGGCUCGGGCUCGGCGCGCUAGUUCCCGCCGAGCCUCAUGCAGCCGCGAGGGCCGGCGCUCGCCCGGCGUCUCCGUCAGCGCGGGCCGCGCGCGCCAAGGCCGUCCGUCCGCCCGCCCGCCGGGGCGCAGUCCUCGCAGGCCCGUGCGGCUGCGCGGGGGAGGCGGGGGCCGCGCUCACCGGAUGCUCGACCCCUCCCCCCGCGGCAGGCGCCCCUCGGCCGCCCGCCGGCUGCGUCCCCGGCCCCGGCCGCGGUUGGUUCCGGCGGGUCGGCGCUUCCUAGCCCGCCCCGAGGCGCGGGGUCGGGGUGUCGCGGCAAGGGGCCUCGGGCGGGAGUAGUUGCCCACCUGUGUCCGGACAAAGACGGCGGCGGCGGCAAGUAGAGCCUCGGGGAGCCGGCCGGUCGCGGGCGGCAGAGAUCGAAGGCGCCGUGGCCGCGUUCAGGCCCCGGGCUCUGCAGAAGGCCACGCCUGAUGCGGAGCCACCUGUGGCGGGAUGAGUGGUUCGGGCGAGCCCCGCGCCGGCGACUGCAUGCACGACCGAGGGUGGGCGGUGAGGGGAGGCCACCGGCUCGCACUGCCGGAAGAGGCCGCCGGACCUCGGGGGACCAGAAAAAAAAAUACCGCCCCCCCCUUUCCCUGCAGACUAGGGGGAUGCUUGCUGCUGCCUUCCAUCCAUCCGUUUCCCUGGUGAAGCAGACCUCACUGCUCAUUUCAGAACCAAGCCUGACCCCCCUGCGCUGUGCAAGACCGAACCCCGGGCCUCAGUCAUCACCCAGGUGCGACCAACCAACUACCCGCCUUUGCAGUUUUCUCAAGAGCUCAUUGAGAAGCCUGCAUCCUGCCGCUUGCCAACCACGAGCAGAAGCAGCCGCGCGAUAAAAUCUCUCAGAGUCGCUGUCGGCCCCGUUUUCGUCUUUUAAAUCUGUAAUACCAACAGAUGAAGAGUGAAACCUUGUGCUGAGCCUUCAGUUAGGGUUCCGGCUCGUCCAAAAAUAACACUAAAAAUUAUCUCUACAGUUAUACUAUCUUCUUUUGCUUGUCUACAUAUGCCAAGUGCUAUGUUGGAAAGCAAAUCCACCUCCGAAGUACUGGGAUUAUGGACUGGGGCAUCGCACUGCAUGGCCUAAAAGGUGCCAUUUUUUAAAAAAGUACUAAUGUAUGUAGUAUUUUUGAAACCAGCUCAGUCAUUAGCUUGUUAAUGGUCCACGGGGGGGGGAGGGUAUAUCUCGAAUAAAACGUGGUCUUUAAAAGAAAAUAUAUCAAAAAAGAGAGAGAAAGAUAUACUUAGCUUGGAAGAAAAUAUUUGCAAGCCAUGUGUCUUAUAUAGAAUUCGUAUUCAGAUUGUUAGAGAACUCAUCGAACUCAGUAAAGAAGGCUAAUAUCCCAGUUACAAGCGGGUGAAAGAAUACACAUUUUAUCAAAGGAAAUAUUAAGAUGAUUACAAGUAAUGUUCAGCAUCAUUAGUCACUUAAGGAAAUGCAAAUUAAAACCACAAUAGGAAAGCGAUUCACACCCACUAUGAUGGCUGCAAUUAAAAAAGUACAAACCCAGACAAGAAUGGUUUGUUGGUGAGGAGGUAACAGAUUACAACCUUCAUGUGUUACGGAACUAUAAAACAGUGUGGCCACCUGGGAAAAGCUCCCUGGGUUCUCAAAGUUAACACAGAUAUUCCCCGCAGAAGAAUUGAAGAGUAUUUUUUUUUAUAAUGGCCAAGAGAGAACAGCCCAGAUGUCUAAGAAUGUCUGGAAGGACCAACAAAAUGUAUAUGCAAAGGAGCAAAGUGCUUGUAAAAAGAAAAAAAAUCCUACACUUAGAUGCUUCAAAAACAGUAAACCAAAACUGGGCGUAAUUAGUGGUUCAUUCCUGUAAUACCAGAACUAGGAUGUACAGGGCAGACGGAGCAAGAGUUUAGACCAACCUGGUUAUUUAGCUAGUGUGAGAUCAACAUGGGCCAAAGGAGAGACCCUGUGUCAAAAUAAGGGUAAUAAGCUAAGUAGAAGGGACUUAAUGCAAACGAGCACAUACACAUGAUUCAACUUAAAACAUCUAGAAAAAACAAUAGUGAUUGGCGGUUGCUUAAGGAAGGGGGGAGGUAGGAAUAUGAAGACUGACCAUGAAGUUAGAAAUUUUCUUAAACAGAAUAAUGCUGUAGAAAAAUGAACCAAAAAAUAACUGAAUGUUCAUUUGAGGCAAGUGGAUUUAUGUCAGAUUGCCUCGAUAAAACAAGUUUUAAAAAUUUCUUGUGUUCCACUAAGAAGCCUAAAAUAACAAUACCUUUUGUAUAUUUAGGAACUAAUUUGCAAUUAAAAUAGUGCCUAAAACCAAGUAGAAAUUGUACUGUUUGCAUGGUAUGAUGUAAUAAAAUGCACUUUGCUCCACAGGUUGCCUAACCAAGUACAUUUACCCCCUUGUCACCUCAGUGUCUACCUACUGGUCAUUCAGAAAUGUGCCUUGAGGCCGGGCGUUGGUGGCGCACGCCUUUAAUCCCAGCACUUGGGAGGCAGAGGCAGGCGGAUCUCUGUGAGUUCGAGGCCAGCCUGGUCUACAAGAGCUAGUUCCAGGACAGCCUCCAAAGCCACAGAGAAACCCUGUCUCGAAAAAACCAAAAAAAAAAGAAAAAAAAGAAAUGUGUCUUGACUUUAUCCAUCGAGCAGGGUAGCAAGGGGGCAAGUUUAAGAGCAGGAAGGAACUAGUGUCAGGAUUUGCCAAGGAGUAGCUGGAAGGGCACAGAGCAGGUUAUUUGAAAUAGCAGACGAGGGAAUCAAGGUAAGGAAUAAUCCACAUGUAUUUUCUGGUGUUUUCUCUGCUAUUACUUCUCAUUCACACUGCCUAGAACUCAGAUUCCCCUCAUCACACCAGUAUGAGCCUCUGGAGCAGCCUUUGGACUGGAUAAUACAGAUCAAGUAGACCAAGUCUUUUGUUUCUAUUUGAUGGAUUUUUAAAUGAAUUUUUAUGAUUUCCUCCAUUGUAAAUAAGACCUAGUCAUUUGUCCCCAACUAUCUAAAAAGCAAGAAAAUGGUUCCCGUAACGUGUCUGUUUAAGGAAGAGAUGUGGGAGUGGGGUGAUUAAUCUUGACAGGAUUCAAAAUCACCUAAAAGACAGAUAACCCAUCUGGGUGUGUCUGUAGGAGUGUCUCCAGGGAGGAUUGACUGAGUUGAGAAGGUCCACCUUGAUUGUGGGCUGAGGUCCCCGACUGAAUAAACAGGAAUGGAACAUCAGUGUUUGUCUCUGCUUCCGAUUGUGGAUGCAGUGUGACCAGCUGCCUACCCUCCUGCACCCAUGCCUUCUCCGCCACGGCAGACUGUGCUAUCAAACUGUGGACCAGAAUCAACCCAUCCCUCUCAAUAAACUCACCUUCCCUUCAAGUACCUUUAGCAGUGUUUAUCAGAAAACUGGAAAAGUUACGCGGAUGCUGCCCAAGAGCAAUUAAGCGAGUGAUGAGAGGAAAGGGAGAAGACGUUGGUUAUACAGAAUGUUUGGCUGGAAUAAGCAGUUAUUGUCCAAAAGAAUUCUCUGGCCAGGCGGUGGUGGCACACGCCUUUAAUUCCAGCACUCAGGAGGCAGAGGCAGGCAGAUCUCUGUGAGUUCUAGGCCGGGCUGGACCGACAGCCUCCAAAAAACAAUACAGAGAAACCCUGUCUCAUAAAACAAAAAAAAAAUUCUCUGUGUAGCUACAGUGCCCUUUUUCUGGCCCUCUGACUGAAGAAAGCAUUUCUUCCUUUUUAAAAGAACCCUGCCUCCUCCUGUACUGAUCCAGGAUAUAUGUAUGAGGCAAGAAGAAACUUUCAGACCAUUGGUUUUUCUUCAAGUCCCAAGACCCUAGUCAAUUGCCUUCCCCUCUCUCCCUUUCUGAGUCUUCUGUUUAUUUUAUAUGUAAUAUCCAGGGCUUUGGGCUAUUAUAUAUAGAAAAUAAUUAAAUUUAUUUGAGUAAUA